rnacentral:lncRNA from 1 species
ACGCUAAUCUCUCGGGAACCUUCCAUUCACCACAGGACCAAGCAGAGCCCUCGUCCCGGGGUUCGAACGGGAGUUCAAGGUCCUGCUCCAGAUGAGAGAGCCCAACUCCGAGGGCAAGGUUGAGAUCCUCAUCAUGGGGAGGCGCCGGUACCGGAAGCGUGCCAAAAGGCUGAUUCGCAUCUUGGCGGCGAAGCCCCGAGGGAAACGCUAUGGAGGCACAAUGAUGUUCAGCCUAGAAACCAUGAAGUCUUUUGAAAGAGAAAAUGUUCAUUCUGAUGAUUUCCUCUCCACCGCUAUGAUGAGUAGCCUGGAUGAAGCCAUGCAGUCCCUGGAAAUAGGUCAGGAGACUGUCCAGGAACCUGUUACCAAAACAGUGUAAUUUUUGUGAUUAGGAACCCAGUGCAGGGGGGUCGGUUUGGGUCAGGAGCCUUACCCUCAGAGGCCCGGUCUGAACUCUGCCUUUGUUCCUGUGGCUAAGGAGAAACAAGUAUUGUCGGUGGUCUAUCCACCUUCCUCCUUCAUAGAUAGUUGUUUAAAGAUUCAAAUGUGAGUUACAAUAAAAAAUAAACUUUAAAAAACAUAGAUAUAUACAUAGAUAUAGAUUAGUAGUGUCAAGAAAGGCAAUCUUGCUUUUGCAUGCUCCAAGAUGGGAAAAUGCUAAGAAUUAGCAAAUGGUUGGUUCUGCUUUUUCAUAGUGUUUUGUGUGAGGUGGGUAUGGCUGGGAUCUUUAAUGUUCCAGGGAGCUUUUGUCCAUAAGGAAGAACUUUACUACUGUUUAUUCUUUCACUAAUACUAAUUUUGAAAAAAAAAAUGUUUGAUAUUAAACAAGCUUUAAAAAAAAUAAAAAAUAAACAAGCUUUAUAAACCCAAUCAGUAAGUAUUGAAACAUUGAUGACAAGCUGAUUCCAUUCUCUUUGGCUUUUAGUUAAAAAGAAGUCGGUUAAUGUUUCUUUGUUGCAUCUUUUUUAAUAGCUUAAAUGUCAAAACACAUUAGCGAGUACAAAAUUUAUUAUGACUGGAACAAAAGCAUCUAUGUUUCUUCAUUAUUCCUGUAAUUCCAAAUAGAAUAGAUUUCCUUAUUUAAAUAAUUUUGUUAUUUCGCUUUCUCAGAGUAUUACCAUACAUAAAAGAAAACGGAUUCUAUCACAGCCCAACUGAAUUUGCAUUUCCUGGGUUCACUAACCAAUUACUUCUGGGUUAGAUCCUAAGAAUCCAUUUAUUGAGCAUUUGGUGUAGGACCAGGUUUUGUUAAGUAUUUACAUACAUUAUUUGACUUGAUCUUCAUAAUAAUUCUAUUAAAUCAGUCUCUGAAAAUAGAUGUGAUUAUGCCCAUUUUAUGGAUGAGGAAGGGGCAGGGUGGAGACAUCAAAUAAUGGGUAUCCUGCUUUUUUGUCACUUUUCAUGUUGAUAACAUUUUCACACUACACUAUAACCUCCUUGUGGCAUUAGGCAUGAUGUUUCAAUUUUCUUUUACCCCAAGACCCUAGGCACAUAGUUAAACACUGGGUUAUUGACUGUUAACAGUGAUUGUCUUGUUUACCAACCACUGGGCCCUGGUUAAUGCAAAUAAUGGUGUUAAUGAGUAAAAACCAGGUCUACCACGUGGCCAUUUGACCAUAUAUGAAUCCCUGUACGUUCUGUACAAUGUCAAGAAAAGUCCUUGCUUAAGUUUCAUAAUAAUAUAGUCAGGAAAAUUUAUUGAACCAUUUUUUCCCCUUUCCCUUAAC